AAAACCCGCCAUGAUUCUGAUAGAAGAUUCAAGAUAGGUUGAGAAUGUGGAACGAGAUGGGGAAUUUGUAUGGAGCACGUGAAGCCUGGGGAUUUUAUUUAUGUUUCAGGGUUUUUGGUUUCUUUUUCUCAGGCUAAUGUAGAUAAGCAACUCAU